GUGCUUGCUUCAGCAGCACAUAUACUAAACUUGGAACGAUACAGAGAAGAUUAAAGUGGUCCCUGUGCAAGGAUGGCACGUAAAUUCGUGAAGCGUUCCAUAAAAAA
ensembl:snRNA U6 U6 spliceosomal RNA